AGAGUUUGAUCAUGGCUCAGGACGAACGCUGGCGGCAUGCCUAACACAUGCAAGUCGAACGGGGGUAGCAAUACCCUAGUGGCGAACGGGUGAGUAACACAUAAGCAAUCUGCCCUUCACAGGGGGAUAACAGCGGGAGACUGCUGCUAAUACCGCAUAAGACCACAGUACCGCAUGGUACAGGGGUAAAAACGAAUCAGUGGUGAAGGAUGAGCUUAUGUCCCAUUAGCUAGUUGGUGAGAUAACAGCCCACCAAGGCGACGAUGGGUAGCCGACCUGAGAGGGUGAUCGGCCACACUGGAACUGAGACACGGUCCAGACUCCUACGGGAGGCAGCAGUGGGGAAUAUUGGGCAAUGGAGGAAAAACCUCUUACCCAGCAAUGCCGCGUGAGUGAAGAAGGUCUUCGGAUUGUAAAGCUCUUUGAUUGGGGACGAAGAAAGUGACGGUACCCAAAGAACAAGCCCCGGCUAACUACGUGCCAGCCGCUGC
rnacentral:rRNA from 1 species